CGGAGGAUCCAAGCGUUAUCCGGAAUCAUUGGGUUUAAAGGGUCCGUAGGCGGGUUUAUAAGUCAGUGGUGAAAGCCCAUCGCUCAACGAUGGAACGGCCAUUGAUACUGUAGAUCUUGAAUUAUUAGGAAGUAACUAGAAUAUGUAGUGUAGCGGCGAAAUGCUUAGAGAUUACAUGGAAUACCAAUUGCGAAGGCAGGUUACUACUAAUGGAUUGACGCUGAUGGACGAAAGCGUGGGUAGCGAACAGGAUUAGAUACCCUGGUAGUCCACGCCGUAAACGAUGGAUACUAGCUGUUCGGAGCAAUCUGAGUGGCUAAGCGAAAGUGAUAAGUAUCCCACCUGGGGAGUACGUUCGCAAGAAUG
rnacentral:rRNA from 1 species